UGGAGAGACUACACAUGUAUGCUUUUAACCCCGAGAUGAUUUUCUGGGCUACACUUAGUAACUACAAACACAGCAGCCCAAAGCCCGUCAUAACUGCCGCCACAGAGAAGAACUGCAGUUGCUGGGAAAAAAGACCAGAAAUAUACCAUCCAGGUGCCAGUGGUGAAUUCACAUGCCAGAGAGUAAGAAGACAUCUUAUUUUAAAUAUGAAGAUGAUUUUGAUCUACAUCAUCAUCGCAACUCCAGCAAUGACCGCUGUGCCACAAGGGUCUUCAGAAUGCAAUCUAACUGAACCUGGACCCCAGACGUGUUUUGGAGUUUUAGGAGAACCACUCGUUUUUUACAUACCUACUAAACCACAUAUGAAGACAAGCUUGAAAAAGAGUACAGAAAAAAUUUUAACCUUAAUAAAUGAUACAUUAAUUAGUCUCAAUGAAAAAUACAAGAAUCGUACUAUAUUUUUCCCAAAUGGAACAUUGAAACUCGAAAAAGCAACAAAAAAUGACUCUGGAGAGUACAGCAUGGAAACACACAGUUCUACUGACGGUGUGUUAUUGCACACAGUUAACAUCCAUCUACAUAUACUCGCUCCUGUGUCAGAACCAGCUGUUAUGCAGAUGUGUUUGUCACCAAAACAGAUGACAGUCAGCUGUUUCUCUGAAGGAGAUGAAGUAGAGCUCAUUUUGUCUUUGGAUGAUAAGUUGUUGAUACAGACUACAGCCAACAGUACAGAAAACAACAGCGUUUCAAAUGUUACCAUCAACUUACCUGGUCAGCUAAUGGGAAACCUGACAUGUGUUGCUCAAAACAAUGCCAGCAGAAAACAAACUAUCACCCACCUUACAAGCUGCACAGCUCCUGUGUCAGAACCAGCUGUUUUGCAGAUGUGUUUGUCACCACAACAGAUGACAGUCAGCUGCUCCUCUGAAGGAGAUGAAGUAGAGUUCACCUUGUUUUUGGAUGAUAACUUGUUGAUAAAAACCCAACCUAGCAUUGCAGAAAACCGCAACAUUUCAAAUGUUUCUAUCAGUUUACAUGGUCAGCUGCUGGGAAAGCUGAUGUGUAUCGUCCAAAACAAUAUAAGCAGAGAACAAACCAUCAUCCACCUUAUAAGCUGCACAGGUAAUAUAAAAAAAAUAUUACGUUCUGUUAUAUUUAAAUAGUGAUUUAUUUUAUUAUUUUAUUUAGUAUAGGUAUUUAUAGGAGUUUUUCUCAUUUUAAAUGAUUUAUUUUAUUUAUUUUAAAUGCUGAAGCAUAAAUUGGAAGUACGUAUGACUUGAAGACUCUUGGCUCUUGACGGAGCCGGUCGCACUUUCUCCUUCUCCCUCUCCCUUAUCUUUCCUGCUUGGCUUCUCAUGUCUGAGGUGUUUUUUCUGUUCUCAAACUGAUCUCCCUGUUGGAGCGCAGUCUGGGGUUCUUUUUUCUCCUUGUCUUUCCUCAUGUUGUGCAUUUUGCAUUGUUAUACCCCUCUGACCUGUCUUCCCCAUGUGAUGUAGUGUAAUGUAUGUAUGGUCGGAAGGGUAAGAUGGCCCUGGCAAAGGUCGGCAGCCUUAACCCAAUUUCCUUUGGGGUCAACCUUCGGGAUCAAUAAAGUUUUAUUGAAUUGAAUUGAACAUUGUAGCCCAGUAAACUAUAUUUACAUUAUUUCAGUAAUUUCUUCUUAAUGGUUUUAAUUUCUAGGUAAUAUUUCUGACCACUGCAUUGUGACUGUGGCUGUGGUAGUAAGCGCUGUUGCCAUUCUACUCAUUCUGGCUGUGUUUCUUGGUAUCCGGAAAUUCAAAAACACAACUGGCAUUAUGACUGUUAAUGAAGAUGAAGCUGAAGAGGACGUUGUCUACUCAGAUAUUAGACUGAAGCAGCUUGCAAGAGAAUCAAGAGAAACACCACCUAUUUCAAAUCAAGAUGAAAGUUAACAUUCUCCUAAACAGUCUGACAUUCUGAAACCUAAACCCUAACAUGUUGACUUUCAGUCAACUGUCUAAUAAAACUAUGGCACUUUAGCAAUUCCAUCUUUGCAGUGAACGUGAAGGUAAACAUAUUUAACAAGUACUCACUGGAUUAUUAAUUUUGAAGGAAACAUAAAGGGGGGGAAAGUUAUUUAGAAGGCAUUUGAUAUACAUGAAAUACUUAUUUAUACUUAUUUAUAAAUGCUUUAUAUUUGAACUACAUUUUAUUUGACAUAAUUUAAAUAAACUACAUCAACCUUGUAAAGGUUCUAACCAACAUUUAACCUUGGAGAUUAAAUAAAAGGCUUUGAUCAGUGAUGGUGCUUUCCUUGUGUUGUGUUAAGCAGACGUGGGCUGUUCAUUUUGUUUGAGAUAAAAACAUCAGGGCUACUUUUUCCUGUGUUGUCAUGACAUUAAAACCACAAACUAUAUCCUGUUUUCACUGAGCUGCUAAACCUCUAAACCAUGUGACAUUACCUAAGCUUCACAGUUGUCAGUGAGAAAGGGGAAAAAACUGUAUAAUGCAUAAAACACUGGCUUGUUUGUUCACAGCUGUUGAUCAUAGUAGAGAAUUAAGAGAUCAAUUUUUUUGAAGACGUUUUACCUCUCAUCAGGUGGAAAGUCCCAGUCCCUAGUAGGGGCUAUCCCUUAGGAGGUGAUCAUUGAC
ensembl:lncRNA